AGUGAGAGAGUGAGAGACUCUCGCUGUUGCCCCGUAUCGGCCACGUCCCUCCUUUUGUGCAAAGUGCGCGCGUGAGUUUGCCGAGCGAGGCACCGCCAACUCUCGCUCGGGCGAUGUUGCUGCGAGUCGCGUGGUGGGCGAGCCGCAGGGCCGAGUGAGCAAUCUCCCCCCCCCCCUCGCCCAUCCCCCACCCUCCCCUCCCUUUGUGGCUUUCUUCGAGUGAACUUGGGGUUGUCCGUGCGGGGCUCGGCACCAGAUCGCGUAACGAUUUGGCGAGGCGUGCGGCGAGUGACGCGCGCCACUCGCCGCGGUGUUCUCGACCGCUCCCUCUCUUUGUCCUGGGCGCGGGUGUCGAGACACGGAGACAGCACAGGUGUGCCCGAAGAAUCGUCGCGGAGUCUGGAAAACGCUCAGGUGCUGGGAGUCGCUUUGGUGACGACACUGAAAUUAACGUCAUCUUACCACGAUCGCGAUCAUCGCCAAAAUUACCUAAAGUCACGGGUCAUCAUCAUCCACACCACCACUCGUCACCACAAUGAUCUUCAAACAACAUUAAUCAUAAAUCAAUGGUCUCAAUGUGAAUAAAAGGAAACUCCAAGACACAAUUGGAGUUGCUUUCGUAUGAUUGUGCAUCUAUGUGGGUGUUCCGGAGGUUUAAAGCACGUGAAUGGCUAUCCGAAGGUUUCUGAGUUCGGAUCGUGGUCAGGGGUAAAUUCGGCCCAUCAUCCUUGCAGGGUCAUCAAAUGGGUGCUUGAACAGGUAAUCGGCUUUCACCACCAAUAUUUAUCCAUAAUAGGGUUUUUUGGGGUUAGAUCGCUUCAAUAUAAGUGUCCUUAACCCGCCAUCACCCCACACAGCCAGUUAGUAAGGUCUGUCACGUAAACAAAACCUGCCAUUUAGUUACUAUUUCGGCACAACAGUGUGUUGGAGAGUAAAGCCACAACAUUUACAAUUUUAGUACAAAUUGUAACCCAAAGAAAACCUCUAUUAUGGAUAAAUGAGUGCCUUUGUUGUACCAGGUGGUUGCCAUGUGAAGAGACUGGCUCCCUGCAAUGGGAAUGUGGAAUUUACACCACUGGCUUUUGGCCGCUCACCUGGGUGGGUGUCGGCCCACUGCUGUUGCGAGCUGAGAGAGGCACAUUUUGUCUUGGAGAGGUGAAGUCCGAACAGAUGCGGUCACCGAAUCGGGGGGCGUUUUCCCCAAUAACCAGCAACAAAGACACUGUCAGAAGCACACGUGACAUCGUGCCCAAUUCGUAGUUUAUCAGGGGGAGCCAGGAAACUCGUGGAGGUGAACACGUCUUGUUGUUGUUGUUUUUACAAAUGCUUCCAUUCGUUUUCUUUGUGCAUUAAAUUAUAACAUCGGCGUGUUUUGGUCCGCGCCGCGUGCCGUUCAGAAUUGAUGCCCCAAAGUUUCGCCCCACACGCCGGGAGCUUCUUAGGGAGCCGAAUGAGAAGCUCCCAGCGCCUGUCGGAGACCCACGCAGCGCAACCCCUGCGAUUACCACCGCAGGGGUGCAUACCACCAGCGCUCAGAAUGACAUUGGAAAUUAAUUUCUUUAGGAGCGCUUUUUUGUUUUGAUUUUAAGCUUUCGUGACUGCAGUGAUUCAUAUUCUUGGUUCUUUCGGUAAAGUCACGUUGAAGGGAAACAAUAAAAUAAUAAAAUAUAGUUUGUUGUCCUUCCCCCGCACCUCCGGUUAGCAAAGUUGGCUACGUACGGCGCGAAAGAAGUUCAACAUACAUACUGUACUGCACGACAUGGGCUCGGUCGGUAGCCACGUGCAGGGCGUAACACACGUGCGCGCGUGGGUAUAAAACACUGCGACAGUGUUGGUGUGCGGAAGAAGUCAACGUGACCGGCUUGGGCGCGUAGAACAGAGUGCCCUUUUAGCCCCGAGAUUAAUUUUCGCCGGCGUUAUGGAACAAGGGCGGCAACGUUGGCAGGGUCGGGGCGAGGUCAGGCGGAAUAUCCUGAAGGCGUGCGGCGUCGGCGGCGUCGCAGGUGGCCGGGGCGUUCCGCGGAGUGGAGCGGGCGCCGUGGAGCGAGCAUAAGCGAGGACCCCAAAAAAAAACUUCUUCGGGAAAAAGGUGGAACAAGCCACAGUUUUGUCUCUACGCUCAGCGGGCGUCCGACCGGAGGGCCCGCCGAGUGCGCGGGGUUCGGAGGAGAUGCUUUGGACGUUUAUAGCCGCUGAGGCCCAUUUAUUUGAUUGCCUCUUGCCCGAGAGAGCCACGUGCGUGUCAGUGGGGCCCGCAGCGACUCGCGCUGCUUGUGGUGUGAGACGCUUUGGCAUGAUUCGUGGUGAAUCGUGAUGUUUGAUGGACUGCAAUGCAACUGAACAUCUAACCGUUUGAUGAAUUGCCACGAAUUUGAUUCAUUCUAUCAUGAGACCUCCUUUGCCAGUAUUAAAUAAUGACAAUAGGGGUUUCCCCUUUCUAAUAAGAAAACAGUUCUGUUAAGAUGUUAAAACACCAAACUGAAACCUUUGCAAGGAAUCAUGUCUGCAUUAACCUCACAUACUUGUGGUGAACAUACAAACAAAAAAAUUGAUUCAUUCUACUCGAGAACUGAUUAUUGUUUUGUCACUCUGGUACGUUUAGCGCCUCCUGUGGCUGCGGUGUUCAGGUGAAUUAAAUACUUUCACCCUAUACACAGACAAUCAAUUAUUUCAUUAUGAUUCGAUACAUUCAUUGUGGGAAUGGCAUGUUGCCGAUUUGUUUCAAUUUGUGCAUUCAGCAUCGUAUCAUGGGAUGAAGAAGCUUUUCAUAAAUAUUCCAGGGCCGUGUGACGCUGGAUUAGAGACGUUCCAUUGGACUACUCCCAGAAAAGAAAUCGAUCAGGUGGCCAAAUCAUCUUUUAUCUAGUAGGGGUCACACCGUCUUGUACACUCUACCAUGAGAUUUUUAACUACCUUACAUUUUAAAAAUGUCAGUGCCGGUGACCGCGCUGACACGGUGACUUCACUGUCCUUGAGAACCCAGUUUAAUAACGGGCGAUGGAAACCCCAGAUUCAAAACCAGGAACUCAGCGGUGCCGGAUCAGCACUCUGACCUACCAAGCCACCUGUCCACCUCAGCUGCGAGGUCUUUUUGCGAGCCGUGUCCUCGGCAGCUCGGCUUCAACGCGCGUCCCUUCCCGCGGCUCACAGCUGCGUGCAGCUUCUCCGCAGCGGUGAUUGAGAGGUCAUCUAAGAAAGCAAAACAAAAGCCAACGUCUUACUGUGCGAGGGCUUAUCGUAGCCAGAAGCCUCCCGUGCAAACGCCCGGAGCAAUUCCUCUGCCCCUUUUCUGGGCUUCUAAGCACACCGCGCGGGAGUAUGUGUCACCGCGGGUAUUAAAAGCAAGGACACGUGAGCGCGCCGUACGGAAAGUGUGCUAUGUGAACGGCUGUCUUGGAGACCCAGUCAUGCUUGGCCUUCAUGUCUUUAUGCUCGCGUGUGGCCUUGUCAGCCACAGAGACUUCGAGAAUUGUUCCGCUUUUGUGAAGUCUGUGUUUUGUUUUCAAGUGCCGUACGGGGUGGGGGAGGACUUGAUGCUGGAUUAUGGAUGGUGGCCUUGCGUAUCACUUUGUAAGCGGUUCAUACCUGCUCAGCCCUGCUCUUAGUGUGUCCACCUGUCGGACAAAAUAAAAUUUCGUUCUCUCAAAAAAGGAUGCAACAUUU